rnacentral:rRNA from 1 species
GACGAACGCUGGCGGCGUGCCUAAUACAUGCAAGUCGAACGCAGUGGGGAUGGGUGAGUAACAUGUGGGUAACCUCCCAUCAGAGGGGAUAACACUUGGAAACAGGUGCUAAAACCGAUACGGAUGGAUGGACCCGCGGUGCAUUAGCUAGUUGGAGAGGUAACGGCUCACCAAGGCCACGAUGCUUAGCCGACCUGAGAGGGUGAUCAGCCACACUGGUACUGAGACACGGCCCAGACUCCUACGGGAGGCAGCAGUGGGGAAUCUUCGGUAAUGGGCGAAAGUCUGACCGAGCCAUGCCGCGUGAGUGAAGAAGGUUUUCGGAUCGUAAAGCCCUGUUGUUAGGGAUGCGGUAUCUAACCAGAACGCCACGGCUAACUACGUGCCAGCAGCCGCGGUAAUAC